rnacentral:rRNA from 1 species
GCAUAUUUUAGAGCUAUAAUCAAUUUAACAAAAUAGGUAAAUUUACGAUCAAAUCCACUUUCAUUAAAAAAUUUCAUUUUUAAAUUCAUAUAGAUAACACUAUUGUAACCCAUCUCUACUAAAGUAUAAGCUACACCUUGAUCUGAUAUAAAUUCUGAUACAAAUUAUUGAAAAUUAUUAUUCUAAUAAAAUAUUCUGAUAACGACGGUAUAUAAACUGAGAAACAAACUAAAGCAAAGUGAAACGUGGAUUAUCGAUUACAGGACAGGUUCCUCUGAAUAGACUAAAAUACCGCCAAAUUUUUUAAGUUUCAAGAA